rnacentral:misc_RNA from 1 species
GAUGAAGAACGUAGUGAAAUGCGAUACGUAGUGUGAAUUGCAGAAUUCCGUGAAUCAUCGAAUCUUUGAACGCAUAUUGCGGUCGAGGCUUCGGCCAAGACCAUGUCUGCCUCAGCGUCGGAGUAACCCCUCACCCCCCUCCCAGAGAGUGUCUCUGGGCGGCCGGGGUGGACUUGGCCUCCCCAGCAGCGCGGCUCUCCUCGAGCGGCUGCUGGGCUGGCUGAAAUGUAGAGGUACGGCACGGACCUGUAUGGCACCAGCAAGGUAGGUAGCUCGUCUACUCCAGCUGAUGCUUUGGGCCCGCCCGCCGCACCCGCAGGAACCCCACUCACUUUAUCGACCUGAGAUCAGGCAAGGCUACCCGCUGAACUUAAGCAUAUCAAUAAGCGGAGGA